rnacentral:lncRNA from 1 species
AGUUUAGUAACAGCCAAGAGGAGUUAAUGACUUAACUACUAACUUGCUUUUUUCUUCAGUCCUUAGUGAAAUGAGCUUGUGAAACUACAGAUUUGUUUCAUAAGUGUGGUAGCACCUAAAAGAGAGACUGAGAGUACAGCUCAGUUUCCAAUGGUCAAAUGCCCUCCUUGCUGGGCAAUUAGUGUGUGACAAAAGGAAAGAAUUGAGGCAGAAAGAGGUAGAGAGACAGCAUCAAUAAUGGGAAUUAUAUUGAAUAACCAUCUCUUCCAGGCUCAUCCAUAAGCCUCAUCUUUCUCUUCAGAUUUUUUAGAGAGGAUCUUGCUGACAACCAAAUUGGAAGUGGGAGGUUAAGCCUGAGUGUUCAGGGGAAUAAGAUGGCAGCCCAAAACCUCGAGAUACCUCUCUCAUGUGGAGAAGAAUUGCCACAGGACUCUUGACAAGGGGAUGGAUAUGGAUUGGCCUCAGACAGCCUGUGAAGAAUGUAGCAGGUCCUCCCAUCUUCUUGCUUUCACCUGACAGAUGAUACAGAAACAUGAUCAUUAUGAUUUCCAAUGACUCAUGCUCAGCAGCACAAAGUCAAAUUGAUUACCAAACCAUCCUCCAGGAAAUACUGGCCCUGAUCUGAACAUGCAUGGAAAGCCUCAAUUACAAGCUUCACCCCUCUGCUUUGAAAACAUGGUGAUGGCCACCCAGUAUGAAGAAGGCUUCACCAAUGUCAACAGCUGGAUAUUUUUAUUGUUGAAACUAAUAUCUCCCAGCAUGGUCAUGCCUAGCAGUGCAUUGAAUGGAGGGUCACCUGUCCUGGGAUCAGAAGUACAGAUGUUCCUUCACAUGACUGCUCUGUAUGGUCUAAUACAAGAGGUAUUCCUGGAAUACAGCAAGCACGUGGAUCCCUGCACCAAGGUGACAUUGAUGGACAGUACUGCCUGUUCACUUAGCUGGAGGACUCUGUGA